CUGUAGGAGCUCGGACAGAGAUCUUUGUUGACGAAGUCCGGAGAAGUCAGUCUGGGAUUUAUCUAAUGCGGAAGCUCAUCCGAAGAUCGUCCGUCGGGGAAAUCCGAUAGGAGGUCGGCCGGUGAUGGACUUCGGAUAGCGCUGGGGAGGUUCGGCAGACAUCGGAGGCGAUCGGCUAUCGCAGGGACCCAGUUGCUGAAGCUCGUCCGUCGUAGAAGCUCAUCUGGAAUCCAUCCGCUG
rnacentral:lncRNA from 1 species